rnacentral:rRNA from 1 species
UGGGGAAUUUUGGACAAUGGGGGAAACCCUGAUCCAGCCAUCCCGCGUGUGCGAUGAAGGCCUUCGGGUUGUAAAGCACUUUUGGCAGGAAAGAAACGUCGCGGGUUAAUACCCCGCGAAACUGACGGUACCUGCAGAAUAAGCACCGGCUAACUACGUGCCAGCAGCCGCGGUAAUACGUAGGGUGCAAGCGUUAAUCGGAAUUACUGGGCGUAAAGCGUGCGCAGGCGGUUCGGAAAGAAAGAUGUGAAAUCCCAGAGCUUAACUUUGGAACUGCAUUUUUAACUACCGGGCUAGAGUGUGUCAGAGGGAGGUGGAAUUCCGCGUGUAGCAGUGAAAUGCGUAGAUAUGCGGAGGAACACCGAUGGCGAAGGCAGCCUCCUGGGAUAACACUGACGCUCAUGCACGAAAGCGUGGGGAGCAAACAGGAUUAGAUACCCUGGUAGUCCACGCCCUAAAACGAUGUCAACUAGCUGUUGGGGGCCUUCGGGCCUUGGUAGCGCAGCUAACGCGUGAAGUUGACCGCCUGGGGAGUACGGUCGCAAGAUUAAAACUUAAAUGAAUUGAC